rnacentral:rRNA from 1 species
GACGUAGGAGGCGAGCGUUGUCCGGAUUUAUUGGGCGUAAAGAGCGCGCAGGCAGCUUGGUAAGUCGGAUGUGAAAUCCCGAGGCUCAACCUCGGAUCUGCAUCCGAUACUGCCCGGCUAGAGGUAGGUAGGGGAGAUCGGAAUUCCUGGUGUAGCGGUGAAAUGCGCAGAUAUCAGGAGGAACACCGGUGGCGAAAGCGGGUCUCUGGGCCGUAACUGACGCUGAGGAGCGAAAGCGUGGGGAGCGAACAGG